UCCUUCAUCCUAAGCCAGUCAUCGCUGUUUGACAAGUUCGAAACAGGAAACAUGCCUGGUGGCUGGCUGUUAGGUAUUUAUUUUCAUUUUUUUAUUUUUUUAUUAUUUUAUUAUUAUUUUUUUUUAUUAUUUUUUACAAGUACCUAACAUUUUUUUUAUAUUUUCUAUAGGCGAUGCGGGUUAUCCAAACAAACCGUGGCUGUUGACCCCAUUGUCUAAUCCUGUUGGUAGAGCAGAAAAACGUUACCAAGAGACACACAUUGCAUCGAGGCAAAUAAUUGAACGUGCCUUCGGUGUACUUAAAAGCCGGUUUCGAUGUUUAGACACUUCCGGCGGUGCUCUUUUGUACUCACCGUCGAAGGUUUGCGGCAUGGUAAAUGCAUGUUGUAUUUUACACAACAUAUGUGUCGCAAACCGUUUGCCGGUGACUCUUCGUCGCAGUGCUUUCCGACGCGGGAACCGGUCUUCUGCUCUACCGGUGGGUAUGGACGAAGGAGAGGAUUCCCGGCGGACAUUGAUCCAAAAUUAUUUUGCAGUUGCCUAGUUUUACAUCCUGUUGAUGUAUAUCCCCAGGCCAUGUUUGUACAGUUCGUUACCCCGUUUUAUCCUGUUGUUGGGUUACCGCAAAUAUUUGAUCCUUUUAUCCAACUCUACCAUGGGUGACCCUACUGGUGAUGUGGACCUGACCCUCCGCCAUGUAGCAGACAACCCCCCCUCAGGUCCUGCGAUGUAUCUUCCCAAGUGGCGUGGAUGUGAGGAGACACGACAUUUCACCUGAUGUUCCAUGGGUGACCCUACUGGUGAUGUGGACCUGACCCUCCGCCAUGUAGCAGACAACCCCCCUCAGGUCUUCCGGUGUAUCCUUCCUAAGUGGUGUGGAUGUGAAGAGACAGUUCCCUUGAUGUUCCCUGGGCAAUCUACUUACGUACAAUUCAAAUGCAUUACAAAUUUUAAUAAAAACCACAGGAAACUUCUAUUUUUAAAAGUUUAUU